rnacentral:rRNA from 1 species
AGUGAACGCUGGCGGUAUGCCUAACACAUGCAAGUCGAACGGCAGCACAGUAAGAUCUUUCUUUUACUGUUGGCGACUGGCGGACGGGUGAGGCAUAGAUCGGAUUCUUCUUUGUCUUGGGUGAUAACGUAGAGCAACUUACGCUAAUACCUCAUACUUUCUACGGCUUAAAUCAGGGGUUCUUCAGACCUUGCCCGACUCUUAUAGCCGGUGUCGGAUUAGCUAGUUGGCUUGGUAAAGGCACACCAAGGCGACGAUCCGUAGCUGGUCUGAGAGGAUGAUCAGCCACACUGGAACUGAGACACGGUCCAGACUCCUACGGGAGGCAGCAGUGGGGAAUAUUGGACAAUGGGCGCAAGCCUGAUGCAGCAAUACCGCGUGGGUGAAGAAGGCCUUCGGGUUGUAAAGCCCUUUUAUUGGGAAAGAAAAGCAGCAGGUUAAUACGCCGACGUUCUGACGGUACCCAAAGAAUAAGCACCGGCUAACUUCGUG